ACUGUCGCUCAGCACCAUCACAACAGGCCCAGCGAGUCGCUGAGACGGAAUGCAUCAGAUUCAAUUCAUUAGGACUGAUCGCUCCCUGAAUGGAGUUGAAUAAUUGAUGAGCAGAAGCAGCUUUCAGGAUGUUCCGAGUACUCCGAGGCCGCUGGAGCCCUGUUAUUAUUUUUUUUUUAAGCCAACAAACCCAGCCAAAUGCUCGCCGUCGCGGGCGGGUGCAGGGAGUAGAGCAAAGGUUAGAUGUUUUAAUAUGUGAUGUUUACACUGUAAACUCUCGGUCCACUGCUUGUCACGGAAAUGGAUACAGGCGGCCCCAGGAUGCCGGGUGGGGUAGGCAUGCUGCGCUGAGUGCCACUGCCACCGGGCUGGCUGGCCCAGGUUGCCCCGGGUGGGGACGUGGCCAGGGGGUUGUGAGGUUCCUGCUGGCACAGGGCUGGGCAGAGGCAUUAGGCGAGGAGGUGGCCUGGGUGGCCCUCAGUCUGGCUGGGGUGAAACAGGAGGGCAGCAUGGAGGCAGGGCUGUCAGGGUCUGAGAUGGCCACAGAGGCCCCGUUCUCUGGGCUCAAAGAGAGGUUUCCUAGUCAGCCAGUCCCCCCAGCCUGAUGUCUCGGUUUCAGGUCAAAGCACAGGCUGUCUGGCACUCUGGCGGGUGUUGGAACACAGGAUGCAUGUGACACGGCCUCUGUGCACUAAUGACAAGGAGCACGGGGGAAAUGCUGACCUGCCUUUACGGCCACGGUUCAGUUCUUCCAGCUGUCCACCCGCCAUCCCACUGGAGGCCCCGCAGUCAUCCGUGCUGGGCGGGCUGAAACCUAUAAUGCAAGCCUCUGUCCCUCCAAACCUCCAAACUCUUCCUCCUCCAGAUGUCCCUCUUCCUAACUCUGUCUUGCUUCCAGUCUGGCAGCGAAGCAGCAGCCAGGCACCUGGGACACACGGGGCUGUCGCCCUGGGUAAGAGCCCCUGCGUGGGCCUGGAGCCUUCUCCUCUUUUCCGUCCUCCCAUGGGCUCCUGGCUGGCUUUCCUCUCCUGGUUAAUGCUGUCUCUCCCUCUCUGCCCUAAACGAUAUGGGGGGGGGUGUCUUCCCAGUUUCCCCUCCCCACUGCAGGGGUGAUACAGAUGCCCAGGGGACAGGGGCUCUCAGAGUUCCCAAUGGCACUGUCUCUUCCAUCUCCCUCUCAGGUGAUCCUACAAUCUCUAGUUCUUUAUUCCUGGGGUGGAGCACAGAGUGAACAUUCCUCUCCCCGCUUCCUGCCCUUCCCCCAGCUCUGGGCCAUUCUGGGCUAGAGCCCAGGUUGGGCAGUUCUUCAGACCCGGAAAAAUUCCGCCUCCAGAUGGCAGUUUACUUAACUUUUCCAUGCCUCAGAUUUGUGCCCUGGAAAUUGGGGAUGAAAUAGGACCUGCCUUAGACCUAGUGAUGGCACCCUGUGUCAGCGGGAGGCAUAGACCUCAGCCAGAUCUGUGUAGACUCGUGGAAUGACAGAGCUUGCCUUGGGGGAUCUUAAGCGCACAAAGAGAUGAGGGCACUGAGACCAGAGAAGGGCAGGGAUCCAUCCAGGAUCACUCUGCAGAGGUAAGAUCGGAAACCAGGUCUCCCUGGCUCUUGUUCAGGGAGUGGGGUGGGAGAUGCAACCAUCUGAAAUGCUGAGUGUGGCUCAGGAGUCAAUGUUGAGAGCCGCGAGCGCCCCUGGGUCCCCCUUCACUGAUGGGGACCUUUCCUCUGUCCUCAGCUCAUCUCCCUUGCAGAGGGGUUGGGCUGGGAGUUCUCCUCUCUGGGAGAAAGACUUUCCAGAAGACUCUGCUCUCCUGCCACCCUGCAGGGCUCUCCAGGAGGCGCCCGUGGGCUGCAGAAGGAGCCCAGGCUUGGAAUCAGGACACCGGCUGCAAGGCCUGCCUGGGACGCCGCCCAUCAGCUGUGUGACCCUGGGCGAGUCUUAUGAUCUAGAGCCCAAGUUUCCUCAUCUGCACCUCGGAGGUGACGACGCUGCCCCCAGGCCUCACAAGGCUGUUGCGGGCAACCAGCGGCAGAAUGCCUGUCGCAGAGCUUUACAGACACCAAACGGAGCUGCAG